CAGCCGCCGCGGUAAAACGAGGGGGGCAAGCGUUGUUCGGAAUUAUUGGGCGUAAAGGGUGCGUAGGCGGUUUGAUAAGUCAUCUGUGAGAUCUCUGGGCUCAACCCAGAGUCUGCAGGCGAAACUGUCGGGCUUGAGUAUGGGAGAGGUGAGUGGAAUUUCCGGUGUAGUGGUGAAAUGCGUAGAUAUCGGAAGGAACACCUGUGGCGAAAGCGGCUCACUGGACCAUAACUGACGCUGAUGCACGAAAGCUAGGGGAGCAAACAGGAUUAGAGACCCGUGUAGUCCCUGUCUCUUAUAC
rnacentral:rRNA from 1 species